GAAUAGGUCGUGUAGUGGUAACACGCGUCCAUGGUAUGGAUGAAACGCGGGUUCGACUCCCGUCCAAGGCCGUAUUUU